rnacentral:tRNA from 1 species
UGGAGAGAGCGGGAUUCGAACCACGCGACCGAAAGAUUUACUUAGUUAAAAGUUUGCAGUAGGCAUUCUUGUCAGAAUACACAUAACAUUCUUUUGCUCUACCAGACUGAGCUAUCUCUCC